rnacentral:rRNA from 1 species
GACAGAGGUCCCAAGCGUUAGGCGGAAUCACUGGGCUUAAAGCGUGUGUAGGCGGAUUUGUAAGUACCUUGUGAAAUCCCACGGCUCAACCGUGGAACUGCUUGGUAUACUGCUUAUCUUGGGCCAUCUAGGGGCGAGCGGAACAAACGGUGGAGCGGUGAAAUGCGUAGAUAUCGUUUGGAACGCCAAUGGUGAAAACAGCUCGCUGGGGAUGUGCCGACGCUGAGACACGAAAGCCAGGGGAGCAAACGGG